AUCCAAGAGAAAAUCACUGAAAGGUCAUAAAGACCAUUCUUAAGUAUUUAAGAAAUACUAAGGAUCAGUGGCUUGUAUAUGGUAAAACUGACUUGAAACUUGUGGGAUUCUCCGACUCCAGCUUUCAGUUAGAUCAUGACGAUAGCAAAAGUAUGUUGAAUUAUAUUUUUAUUCUAAAUGAUGAGUGAUCUGCAGAAAAAAUUUCAAGCAGUACACUAUGGCAA
rnacentral:lncRNA from 1 species